GGAUAGGCAAGGGUAAUGGAUCUGCUCAAACUGCGAAAAAGUUUAAACAUAUUUGCUACCAUGAACAAUGUUCUUAUGUCCCCUUCACCAGAUGGGCUGCUGGAUUUAUGAUGAGACAUGUCACAGAUACAUAUCAAGAUAAAUGGAAACUGGGAGCCCUUUAGAGCCAGACUUCGGGAUCUAUAGAGAGCACCUGUUCUAUUGCUGACUCGAUAAUUGAUAGAGUUGUACUCCUGGGCUUUGGUAAGCUAUUGAAAUCAAUUUCAAAAAACAAUAUAAAGUGAUUGGAAACAAUAUUUUCAACUUUUUCACAGUAAUGAUCAAGAAUGAGCAACGACCAAGCAAACCUGACAAGUCCGAUUUCAUUUCCUUUCCCUUCUCCAGCCCCUUCAUAGUCAGGUGGCCGGGAAGACACCAGAGACAAGAAGUGAAGGGGGACAAAAUCUCCAAAUUGAAUGGAUUAUCCAGGAUUCACUGCAACGUGAACAAUGGACGAUGGCACUCACCACCUCCCAGCAGCAAGAACUUUAUGGUAGGAAGAAACCACAUCCCAGAGCCUUUUGAGGCAGCGGCAAGGAAGAUGAGAGUCCGGGCGGGACCCUCUUUCCCACUAUUUCCCGUGUGUGCCGGUUCCUCCAGCAGCUCCACAGACACCCCUAAGUCAUGACAUAAAUCUGCAGCCAGCCCCCAGAAGCCUCGGCGGAGGAUGUGGAGGGGACAAGAUAACUCGCGAAUGGUCCGGACCUGCACCUCACCACUGUGGCCUCGCAUCACACACGAGCCCUGCCACGCUGCAGCCCACAUCGCAUCAGAACAUGCCCACACGAUGUUUCCAGCCCUAAUUUUACCUCAGGCAGCCUGAAUGACAUAGACAGCCAGACAGUGGAAAAAAAAAAAGUGCCAAUAAGCAGUUUUGCUAAGCAUCAUUCCAA